rnacentral:lncRNA from 1 species
AAAGGGAAAAAUAAAUGUGCAUCCUGACAAGAGCUGACUCUGAAAGAGAGAGAACCCCACAGAGGCUGAGUUUCACCAGCACAACUACUUCCAAGCACAUUCCUCAGUAUUGCAGAUCAUCUCAACCUACUCUCCAAGCAAACAUGGAGAGCAGAGCAGUCCCAUCUCAGUUAUGGUAGCAGAUGAAGCAACUCAGGCAAGUAAAUGACAUCCUUCCCAUCUUGGGCCUUAUAACCAGGAAGUGCGUAGUCAUUUUUGCCACCUACUCUGGGCAUGUUGUUGAGUCUUGGGAUAAAAGUUACUGAGCAUAGAUGCAGCAAGCAAAAUAUUGGGCUUUGAUGAAGGCCCACGAGUCAUUCUCAUUGGUUCUAAAGCAUGAAACUUGGUUGGUUUUCCCAGCCCUGAAAUACUUGGAACUCCUUUUGGACCCCUCCUACAAAUUCAGAACCACAUAAAGGAAAUGGUAGUGGUAGGAGAGAAGGAAGGAUGCAGAUGGAGGAGGAACUAUAGACAGGGCUGUAAAAGCGGUAGUCUCUGAGAAAUUGUUCUCCAAGGAUACAGAAAGAAAGGCUUUUAUUUGGACCUAUCUUUACAUGAUUGCUUUUACCAAAAAUAGAAGUCAGUCGUAGACUGAGAGAAUUGGAUUCACAUUUUUAAAAUCUGUGUUGCAAGCAAUUCUAAAGUCAACACAUGAUAAUAUGGACACACAAGUCCUUUCAGGAAAGCAAACAUGACGUAGUCAGGUAGAUAUGAUAUCAGUGAUAGAGGCACUCCAAUGUGAUCAUAGCUUUCUUUGUUUUUAUUCUCCACUUUAAUGGAAAAUUUGUGAUUUUUCAUCCAGUAACAAAAUCAAUAGAACUGUGACUUAUAUUUCACAAUUUAAAUCGAUGACUUUAUACACUUUAAAAGUUCAAUAAUAUUUUCUACCAUUAAAUGUUUUUUCUUUCUUUGGAAAAUUUCAAGGGGACAUACCCCAACCUUUCCCCAGUGCUUUGUGAAUAUUGUCAUCUCUAAUGAUAUUUCUCCAAUUUCCUGGAGGAGCUGUGAUAACAUCUAGGCUUUACCUUACAUUGAAUUUGAACAAAUGGAACUCAAAAGGCUAAAUAAAGUACAGAUUAGUCAGAAAUCUGAAGUACUGGAAAGGGUUGUGGCAGGUAAUUUAAAAGAAAAUUAUUUUGAUUGUCACUAAAAGUAACAAUUGAGUGUCAAGAUGACAUGCACGGUACAAUAAGCCCCUGGCAGUUGUGGAUUUAACAUUCAUCAUUUUGAAUGUUCUUAAAUGACCCUGAAAGUCCAUAACACGGAGUAAUUUAUAAUUUUGAUGAGGCACAAAUCUCAAUUGCCUGAACUGGGAGGCAGGCAUGAGUCAUUUAACUGGAUACCAUGACUUUAAUUCUCUACUUGUUUCCUUGUAGGAGUUUUGUGGAUUUGGGAAUCUACAAAGUUCUCAGAGAUUUCUUUGCAAACAUUUGUAUAAUUAAUAUAGUGUUAGAAACACUUAAAAAUGGUGGUAAAGGGGUAAGGGGUACAAAUACAUAGAAAUAUUCGAAGAAUUAUAACCAGCAUAGAACACUGACAUGUUGAGAAAGCUCAAUGAAUACUUAUUUGUGUUGAUUUAUUAUUAAAUGGAAUAAUGUAUGUUAAGCAUCUAACACAAUGUCUGACACAUGGUGGGGUGUUCUUUAAGUCUGAACUUCCUUUUCUUUGCUUCAUGUUUACUGAUGAAACAUUUAUAUGGUAGCUUCCACUUACAGAUAAAUUUCUUUAAUUAGAUAAAGGAAGAAAAUACCAGAGACUAUCACUGUUUUUUUUUUGUUGUUGUUGUUGUUGUUUUUAAUUUUCUAGGAUUUCAGCAAUGUUUAGUGCAAAAUCUGCUGAGGAUAAGGAGUCUCUGUUUUAAAGCCCACACUUGAUUUAGCAGUCAAUAUUUAUGUAUAGCGACAGAGGCAUUGAUUAUACAUUCUCUUAAUCUGCAGCAUCACAGUGUGACAGGAUUAGGAAUCUGGUCCCAUAUGCAGAUGUUAGGGUGUGUGGCAAAAUUGAAACACUUCAAUAAAUUUGCUUUUGAAGAUUAGAAAUGGGUGCUUGAUACACCCAUUUGGCUUUUCUCGGUGUCUGAACACAGAAUCUCAGUAAUCCUUCUGAUGGCAAUCUCAUUAAUGUGUCUUUCAGAUCACAUUACAUUUACACACAUAUCAUGUCUGCUUAAAAAUCAGAUAAGCCUAGGUUUCAUUAACAUGGUCUUUUUUUAAUGAGUGAAUAUUUCAGUAAAUGACACUGAAAUAACUUUUCUCAAAGAUUUGGUAACUUACAUAUUUUGCAGAUAUUCAAAUGAAAACUGGUCCAAAAUACAGCCAUUAUUGCUCUAAAACUCAGGAAGCUGAGUGUUUUUGGAUGCAUCCCUGUAACAGAUUUUCAUAAUGAGAGGAUCCUAAGAUUUUGUCUUUGUGUUUGGAUAUUUUUGGGGGGAGGGAGUGCUGUUAAUAACAUCUUCCCCCCAACAUGGGUUUCUAAAGUACUGUGGUUUCACAGGAGUGACAAACAAUAGAAAUCAGCCAAGUGUUUGGUCAUCAAAAUAUGAAUAUGGUAAUUCACACCAACCACUACUGUCCCUUCACUCAAAAUAAUGAGAAAUCAGUUAUACAUUUGCAUGAAAAUUGAAAUUUAGGGUGGCAUUAUAGUUGUAAUCUGCUCUUCCAUCCCCUCCCCAUUUAACUGCCUUAGGUUUGCAAACUGCUUCAGCAACCGUCAGCCAAGAAAUGUGCAUGUCAUCUGCAAAUCACAGAUCACAGAUCUUGACUUGAGUGAUUGUAGACGGAGAAGUGCUGAAGGGUUCAUAGUGGCCAGAACAAGACUUAAAAGUAAUGUGAAAUAGGGAGCAAAGAGGGCUGCAAUUGCCUUGGAGCCUAAAAUAGACUGAGCUUCAAUGCCAUCGAAAAAAUCACCAGCUUCUCCAUCAUUUCUUUAAAGGUCAAAAUUUUUGUAGGUGGACUGGGAGAGCAGCAGAUUGCAGAUGCGUUUAACAGCAGGGUAUUUUCCGCUGCCAUGACCAGUUAAGGAAGAUUUUCGAAAACACACUUGCUGGUAAACAGUUUGGCCCUACUCUGGGUCAUCUGCCUUCUACGGUCUCCUUGCUGCCUGGAUUCUUACCUGGGUAGAGUCCCAAACCUAACAUCAGUCAAAGUUAGGCUUUCAGCACAGUCUAUUAUGUUUUUUAGAGAGGUACCUCAAUGGCUUUCAGGAAGGUUUUAUGGUGUGGGGCUGCUUCUUCCCAAAUGCAUGAAGCACACGCAU